rnacentral:tRNA from 1 species
GGCAGCAUGGUGUAGUGGAAGACCCUUGGUUUGUAAGCCAGAAGACCUGGGUUCAAAUCCCAGCUCUGCUC